rnacentral:rRNA from 1 species
AGCAGCCGCGGUAAUUCCAGCUCCAAUAGCGUAUAUUAAAGUUGUUGCAGUUAAAAAGCUCGUAGUUGAAUUUCGGGAUUGACACAUCGGUCGUGCCUUAAGGGGUAUGAACUGGUGUAGUCAAUUUCUCACCUUCUGGAGAACCGCGAUGCCCUUAAUUGGGUGUCGCGGGGAACCAGGACCUUUACUUUGAAAAAUUAGAGUGUUUAAAGCAGGCAUUUUGCUUGAAUACAUUAGCAUGGAAUAAUAAAAUAGGACGGCAUGAUUCUAUUUUGUUGGUUUCUAGGAUCACCGUAAUGAUUAAUAGGGAUAGUUGGGGGCAUUAGUAUUCAAUUGUCAGAGGUGAAAUUCUUGGAUUUAUUGAAGACUAACUACUGCGAAAGCAUUUGCCAAGGAUGUUUUCAUUAAUCAAGAACGAAAGUUAGGGGAUCGAAGACGAUCAGAUACCGUCGUAGUCUUAACCAUAAACUAUGCCGACUAGGAAUCAGACGAUGUUAAUUUUUUAAUGACUCGUUUGGCU